rnacentral:rRNA from 1 species
AACGAACGCUGGCGGCAUGCCUAACACAUGCAAGUCGAACGAGACCUUCGGGUCUAGUGGCGCACGGGUGCGUAACGCGUGGGAACCUGCCUUUAGGUUCGGAAUAACUCAGAGAAAUUUGAGCUAAUACCGGAUGAUGUCUUCGGACCAAAGAUUUAUCGCCUUUAGAUGGGCCCGCGUUGGAUUAGCUAGUUGGUGGGGUAAAGGCCUACCAAGGCGACGAUCCAUAGCUGGUCUGAGAGGAUGAUCAGCCACACUGGGACUGAGACACGGCCCAGACUCCUACGGGAGGCAGCAGUGGGGAAUAUUAGACAAUGGGCGAAAGCCUGAUCCAGCAAUGCCGCGUGAGUGAUGAAGGCCUUAGGGUUGUAAAGCUCUUUUACCCGAGAUGAUAAUGACAGUAUCGGGAGAAUAAGCUCCGGCUAACUCCGUG